rnacentral:lncRNA from 1 species
CGAGACUCCAUCUCAAAAAAAAAAAAGCAUCCCUAACUGCUCAUUCUGCUGUCAAAAUCGAUGCGGGGUCAAAACAGAAAAAUUUCAGAAGAGAAUUUAGAGCUACAGCCUGUGAGAAACAGCAAAAAGUGAAAACCAAAGACCUGCUUAGGAAAACCCUCAUUGAAGAGAUGGGGAGGAAGGGCCUGAGCCCCCUACUCCAUUCCACAAUCAUGCAUCUGGAGGUAGAAGACAGAAAAGAGACUAAGAGCGGGGAAUAGACUCAACCAUUCUAGAAUACAGCCCGGAUGUGUUACAGGAUCCUGCCCUGGAGUCCUCGCGCAAUCAAUGUUUAUGCUGUGCUCUGCUGGGCUGUGCUGGGCUGGCCUGGGCUGUGCUGUGCUGUGCUGUGCUGUGCUGUGCUGUGCUGUGCUGUGCUGGGCUGUGCUGGGUUGUGCUAGGCGGUACUAGGUGUUGCUAGGCUCCUGCCCCAUCACAAAUGGUUGCAACAAGAUUGAUUAGAAAGGGUACCAUUAGAUUCAGCUGACUGGUUCAAUUAGGAGAAAGGUUCAUCACUCUUAACACAUCAAAUCUCCCCCUAUGUCAGUCUUUCACUGACAUCAGGGGCUGGGCUUCUGUCUCCUCUUCUCUUCUCUGAUCAUUGCCUGUGCAGAAGACAUGGAACUUUUGUCUGUUCAUUAAUAGAGUCCAGUGGUAAGUUUUCCCAGGCCAGCCCUGGUGGUCAAAUGCUCUGGAUUCGAUGCCUAUCCAUUCUCUCCUCACCCUGCAACCACCGGUCCCCAAUUCCUACAAGUCUGGAGCUGGUUUCAAGUUCAUGAAUGUGACCUAGAGAGUAGCAACCUCCCAGCCUCCGGCAUAACCCAUGUUCUCUCUGACUCUGCUUGGGCCACGUGGAUAAUAAAUCUGGCUCCUCCUUGAAGCAGCCACUCACCCAUCAGCAUGGGCAGCCAUGCAAAUUUUCCUGCAGAUUUCACAGGGGAGACAGAGCAGUUUGUAAGUUGCAUGCUCCACAGCACACAGCCUUAAUCCCCUUGUUUGAUUUUUAAAAUUCUCCCCAAGGCGCACCUUGAUUGCUUUGCCUCUGGGACUCUUCCUUUCUGACCUGGCCCUUUGACAUCUUUUAAUUCCUCUCAUUCAUGCCUUUCUUGAUUAAAAGAAGAAGAGAAAAAAAGCUAGAUCUGGAGUGUGAAGCUUGAGAUUCUUUUUUUCUGUUCUGUAAAAUGGGGAUGAUAAUAAUUCCUACCUCAUAAGGUGAGAGGGAGAAUUAAAUGAGAAUUAAGUAAAUAUAAACUCUAAAGUAAUGUUUUGCAAAUAUGACCCAUGAAAUCAAUUUAAUGGGUUGCUACCUGCAUUAACAUGAAGUAAAAAAGAAUAGAAAAUAUCAGAGUGUAUUGCAUGUAGUAAGCAUAAGUUUUGUGAGUCUUUUCUUCUGAUUUUGUAUGUGUAUGUGCAUGUGUGUGUAUGUGUGUGUGACCACUGGCAAUGUAAAAUGGACUCUGCU